CUUCAAAUCAGCACAGCAUAAAUCAGGAGUUUUGUGUGCAGGUCACAUCCCUUACUGCCCUCUGUUUGGAGAAAAAAGACAGACAGUGUUGUAGGCACAGAGUUUGUGGGGAUUGGGAGUGGGGCUGUGGCCCAGCCUCAUCCCUAAUGUGCUACAGCUGUGCAGGACAGGUGACUAAUAUUGAAGGUAACAAACCAUGGAGUGCCCAGGGGCACUGACCAACCACCACAGGGAACAGAGGGCACACAGGAGCCAUGCAUCAACAGGAGGGGGAUAAAAGGUUGGGCUAAAGAACAAGAAAGAGCUGUGGACACUUGAAGCCUUGUGGAGUGGUGUUGUGUUACUCUGGCUGGGCAGAUGCUUGAAGCUUUCUUUGGUUGUGCCUCACUGUUAUUCCAAUAAGGAACAGCAGCAUUGACCUAAAGUUAAGUGUUAUAAUAAUCUAUUUGUGAAUGCUGGAAAGAAUUUUUAUUCCUGUGUUUGUAUGUAGCUAAAAUAAUGGUCAUUAUGCCUAGAAAAAGAGGUUCUGGCUGCUUGGUUGUUCUUAACUGCUGAAAUACUUCCUACUUUCCCCCUUCCUGUGAUGAGUGAACUAUAUGUGUAGAUGUUUAAUCUAUAUAAAGGUACAUAUGUUGCCCAAAUUCAAUAUGACAUCAACUAGAAAAAUGUUGAUUUGCUAUAUGGAGAAUGAGAAAUAAGGAAUUAUAGAAAGCAAAGUUUUUUCCUGUUGACUUGAGUUCAGGUUUCUGCUUUCAGGGCAAUUUGGCCUUUUGGUACUGCUGUCUCUGUCCUUUCUUUUUUUGGUAGGUGCAGGUAGGGUGACCACUCGGCAGUGCACAAGCAGGUCAGAAUGAGUGCCCUGAAGGUGGAUGUCUUCUGUCCUUUUUGCUGCCCAGGCACUAAUGGAGGCUCCAUGCCCAUCUCUACUCCUUGGCAGAGAAUCUUCUACACCAGCUCACAGCAGCUCCUGUCUGCAGCAGUUUGUAUGGGAGUUGUGCAAGUUAUUUCCAGCAAGGUAAGGUCAGAAGACCAGUUACAUCUGCCUGUGACAUGUAGGUUUUCUCUCAGCAUGUGGAACAAUUGCUGUGUGUGAUGCCUGCUGCCAGACUGCCCAGUGCACUGAAAGGUGAUGUAAAAAAAUGGCUGGAAUGGUAGGACAGAGCAUGAUCUUGGCCAUGAGCAGUUUGUGAUGCCUCUGCAGCCACUGUGCUUCAGUAAAGCAAUUUAGACCAAGCUGAAUUGGAAAAAAGUUAUUAUUUCUAGUCAUUCUUGUAACAGUCUUAAUAUAUUGACCUGAUUUAUGAUCCCCAUCAGAUUUCUCUAAGGAGAAACUGUAGAGAGCUUCCUUUACCAUGGAUCUUGAGGAGAAGAAGGACCAUGUUUUAGGCUGGAGAAAGGGGGUUUCUUUUGUCUUGUAUCUUGUAUGCCAUACCUGUGUCUUAUCCAUAUGGCUUCACACAGCCUGAUUAUAAAAAUGCUGCAGGCUGGAUUACCUUCGUUCUGCCACCAAAUUACCAAUGCCAAAGGCUUGGAAAUCAAAGAUCCUUACACCUUCCCUGCCACGGGCCUGCUGUAGCAUUUGGAGUACAGU